CGAUUUCGAAUUUCCUCAACAGACAAGGUCCAACCGGAAAGCUAACAUGACACAAAUGCUACAAAUUGAUGGACACUUAAAUUGAUACUGCAAAAGUACAGAUCACCACCUCUCAAAGUCAUAAAUUGUAGACCAAGUCUAACAAUGCAGUGCAAGUUUGAAGAUGGCAAUAAAAUGCUAGAUGAAGUUUGCGCAGCGAUUUUGUGCUUGUUUAGAUUCAUUUCAACUAAUCUUGGAUACUCCUAUUCUCCUUGACAUGAAUUUCUCCAACUUCAGUCUGUCUGAAUCCAAAGGGAGGUGGCUCAGAACAUGCCCUCAAAACAGCCUCAUUCUGUGACAAACAUUUCAAUUUAUUCAGUUAAUAAUUUAAAUUUAUAAAAUAUAGCACAGGAGAACACAUUAUAAACAUGCCAUGCUUAAGCUCUUUCCUAAUAUAAAAUUGACGAUAUAUUUUUAAAAUUUUAGUUUUGGACCUUUUAGAUUGCGGUUGAGAUUAAAGCCAAGAUUUAAGCUUGAAAUAAGAUCCAGUUGCUUUCAAGCCAAGUUAAGCCAAAUGCAAUCUUAAUUUUUUUAAUCAAUCCAAUUACGAGCUAGAGUGAUUUCACAUAUUCCCAAUCUCAACUCAAUUCACCACAACUGGAAGGGGUUUAACACUGUACGUAUAUUCCCUUGGAUAUUCAUGGUCUGCAUUGUUAUAGUAUUAUUUUCUACAAUCUACAUGGAAGAUUCAACACAAGUUCAAAUUAUAUCGAUAUGUUCAAUUACUGAAUCAUCGAAUGGACUCAUGAAAAAUCUGGUGAACACUGAUUCAGAAUUAAGUAGAUUCAUGUUCCAGUGAGGUAAUCCAGAAUGGUGACCGAUAAUUGGGUUUCUCAUCUAGUUCCUUGGCUUAGAAUCAAUAUUCCAAAAAACAUUCCUGGAAACUUUCAAUAUUAUAUGUAAAUUGAAGUUCUCUAGAUGCGAACCAUAGUGAUUAUAAUUCCCAAUGGUGUCAAAUAAAUUUGACUUUCAAUAAUUUCUAAAUUAUACACAAAAAUCUUGAUUUUAAUACUCCAUGAUAAAGAAUGAACAUGGUUAUGGAGUUCAUUUUCCUCUGAGGUAAAGAGGUAGUAGGCAACAGGACAAGAUAUGAUUUGAUUGCAAAGCGCUGAUAAAAAUAUUUCUGACUUUUUUAGUGACAAAGCAAUGCUUCUUAUGGGGUGUCAUAAGGAAGGCUUAGCUAAUUUAUUGCAGUCUAACAUCAAAGAUGGAGGUAAACAAUUGCUCAUAAAGUCGACUACAUGGAAAAAGAAUGCUGAUCACGCAGUUUGAAUUGAGUUGACAUAAUAAUAAACUGAUGAUAUUUUUAAAAGACCCGAGCAUCUGUUUUCUCAUAAUUGAACCUUCUUUUAUAUCUACACCCCUUUUAACAUAUAAGAAGGCAAUCUAAAUUCAGGAAGCAUCAUACAGCCCUUCAGUUAUGCCAAUGACGUUACAACCCAAAAUCAUAAGAAAUUGGGGGUGGAGUAUCGCACACUGCACAGAAACUACUCUAAAAUUGCAUCGAUUCACAGCUUUAACACUCAAAUUUCAAAAAACAUAUCCAAAAAAACUAAAAAGAAAAUGAAAGAAGAAAAUGAAUGGAAAAAGAAAAUAAAAAUGAUGUGAUACAGAUCCUUAAAUUAAAAUAAAUUCAUCAAAGUUGAAUGUAUUUUCAAGCUCAUACCACACAUAUGCUAACAACUUUCCACUCAAGCAAGUAAUGCAAAUACUAAGCGCUUUAGGAGGAUUGGUGAAAUGGGCUACAGAGCUUAGCAAAUUUGACCUUAAGUUCAAGGUAAGGACUUCCAUCAAAGUCCAGGCUCUCGCAAAUUUGUGUCAAAAUUUGUUAAUAUUCCUAAAAUGGAAGAAACAAUGGAGCCCAUAGAGUCCCCUACGUGGAAAUUAUUCAUAAAUGGCUCCUCAUGGUAAAUAGAAGUAGGGGCAUGUAUUAUCUUGGUUAGUCCAAAAGGUCACACACUUAGUGUAGUAAGGUUCGAUUUCAAAGUCAUGAAUAGUGUUAUAGAAUAUGAAGCCAUUCUAGUUGGCCUUUGUUUGGCAAAGGAGAUACAUGUCAAAAGCUACUCGUAAAUAGUGAUUCCCAACUAGUUGUUAACUAGGUGAAUGGUAACUUCACCACAAGAUAUAAAGGAAUGACUGUGUAUCUCAAAAUGGUCAUGGACCUCUUUAUCUUCUUCAAAAAACUCGAAUUAACCCAAGCCCCACAAACGAAGAAUAUUAUCGCCAACAUUCUCUCCAAGCUAGCAAUCAGCAAGGAUUCGAAACUAUUGAAGGUAGUGCUUAUUGAGCACCUUCCUAAGCCCUUUAACGGCUAAAGGAAAGGAGAUAAUGUGAAUAGAAGAAAGCCCUCUAUAUAUGUAGCCUAUAAUAGCUUUUCUCAAAGAUUCGACCUUACCUCAAGAUAAAGAAGAAGCUCAUAAAUUUAGUAGAAUGGUAGCUCAUUUCGUGCUCCAAGAUGAUGUCCUAUACAAGCGUGGGUUUUCCCUGCCUCUUAUCAAAUGCAUGGGAAAAGAAGAGGUAGCAUAUGUCUUGUAGGAAAUCCACAAAGAGAUCUAUGGAAAUCAUACGGGAGGACCAGAACUUGCACAUAAAUUGUUGAGACUAGCCCAUCUUGGAAAAAAAAAUGCAAUUCAAUUCGUUCAAAAAUUUGACAAGCACUAAUGUUUCUCAAAUGUCCAAAGACAACUCUUCGAAGAGCUCAUUGCGGUAUCUACUCCAUGGCCAUAUGCCAAAUGGGAAAUUGAUCUCAUAGGUCUCCUCCCUAAUCAAAAAAGAAGCACAAACUUCACAACUAUCACCAUUGAUUACUUUACCAAGUGGGUAGAAGCUGAAGCAUUGUCUAAAAUUACUAAGGCAAACACCAAUUUUAACAGACAAUGAUUGACAAUUUGAUAACAAAAAAGGUAUGGACCUAUAUGAGGAGCUUAUGAUUAAGAAGCACUAUUCUACCCACUAUCAUCUUUAUGCUAAUAGGCAAGUGGAAGCUAUCAACAAGACUAUAAAGUACACCAUCAAAAGAAAGCUGGAUACUUCGAAAGGGACGUGGGUUGAUAAAUUACCUCAGGACUUAUGGACAAUCCGAACUACUAGCGGAACUACCACAAAAGAGACUCUUUUCUCUAUGGCCUAUAGAGCAGAAGCUAUGAGUCCAGUGGAAGUGGGUUUACACUCUGCUCGUCCCUUACAGUUUAAUGAGAUAUCCAAUGAUGAGUUGAGAAGAUACGAACUUAACUUUCUUGAAGAAAAAGGAUAAGUCUCAAGCGAAGCUGGCCACUUACCAAUGGAAGAUGACACGCUACUACAAUGCAAAGGUGAAGAAAAAGUCUUUUUGCAUGAAUGAUUUGGUUCUAAGGAGGGUCUUUCCAUCAUCCAAAGAGCCAAGUACUAGCACCCUUGGCCCUAAAUGGGAAGGUCCCUACUACUUCAUAGAGGAGAUAAGGCUCAACAUCUACAGGAUUGAAGAUCUAGAGGAGAAAAUACAACCCCAUCCAUGGAAUUCUGAACACCUAAGGAAGCAUUAUCAAUAGAAAUAAUACUGGAUUGAAUGAGGUUCCCAAACAAAUGUAAGUAUUCUUGAAUCAAUGAAAUAAAACUUGUAUAAAUAUUGCCUUGACAUCUCCCUACCUUUGUCAAACAAAUCUAAAUCGACAUGAGAGAAGCCUCUACGUGGAUGUACAAACUCCAUGCAGAGAACAUUGACGAAACCACGUGCCUUCCAUAAAAGAGGUUGCAUUGUCAUAGAAGAAGCAUCUGUAUGGACGCACCAAACUCUAUGCAAGAAAAUGAUUAACAUGUAUCCUCUCAUCAACAAAGUUGAAUCACCAUGGGAGAAGCCUCUGUAUGGACACACCAAACUCCAUGUAGAGAAGCUGUACGAACAUACAUAGACACACUAAACUUCAUGCAAGGAAGCAUAGAUGAACCCGCAUGCCUCCUAUAAACGAAGUUGAAUUUUCAUGGGAGAAGUCUCUGCAUGGACGCAACAAACUUCAUGCAGAGAAGCAUGGAUGAACCUAUGUGCCUUCCAUGAAAAAAGUUGAAUCAUCAAGGACAAAGCCUCUGCAUGGACGUACCAAACUCAAUGUAGAGAAGCGUGGAUGAACCCGAGUGCUCCCAUGAACGGAGCUGAUCGCAACAAGAGAAGCCUCUAUAUAGAAGUACUAACUUGGACAAUUGGACAAAUCCUCGUGCCUCCCAUGAAUGAAGCUGAAUCGUCAUGUGAGAAGCCUUUGCAUGGACACACCAAACUCCAUGCAAAGAAGUGUGGACAAACUUGCAUGCCUCUCAUAAAUGAAACAAAAUCGUCAUGGGAGAAGCCUCUACAUAGACACUUUAUUGAUCAUGCAUGAAUGAUUACUGACAAAGUACAAAUCCGAGCCUCUUGCACUACGAAUAUAAAGAACUCAUGAUUUCAAGAAAAAUGGAGGAAAAGUUAAGUGUAGGAUAAAAAAUACUUACGAAAUUGAAGAAAGAACAAGAAAGGUCGCCAAAUUUCUUAAGAAGUGGCAAAAAAAAAAAUCUUGACAGUUCUAAAAUUUCAAUAAAGUUGAGAAUGUUUGAAAGUUUUUUUUUUUGCAAAGUAAAAAACUAAAUGAUUCAAGAAGUUGCCUUCUUAUAGGCAACACACAUAAACCUGAGCCGUUGGAUUUGGAUCCGGAACAUCAAGACAUCCAUUAAAUAUUUAAUCUGAACUACAAAUCACAUAAGGCGCUUCACAUUCAACAGAUAAGAUCAAUGUGUUUGUUUCAUGCAUGCACAACAACUAGUGCUUGGAAACGCUUGUAGCGCUCAUUAUUAAGCUUUAAAAGCAACGAUGGCUAUACGUAUGGAAAGUUAACCCUCUUCAAGUGUCUUUUCUUGAAAACAUACAAGACAUCAAAUCAUUUAAACACAAUAAUUGAGGAGAUUGUUCACUUUCUCAAAACGUUAAUAAUAAUAAUAAUAAUAAUAAUAAUAAUAAUAAUAAUAAUAAUAAUAAUAAUAUAUCUAUUACAACCUCAAUAUACAGUUUCAAACAGCAAAGGCCUAAGCUUCCUUCUGAAAAGUUAUAAUACUAUUUGAAAGUCCUAUUUAGCCAAUUUAUUUUGACCCAACGUACGGAAUUAUACAAUUAAAAGCAACAAAUCACUUUUUAAUUGUUUUUAGAUGGUUAAUCAUAUAAGUCAAAUUAUCCUACGUUGAACUCCCACAGUUUGUAAUACGAAAGCAAUAAAUAACACAAGAAUUGAUGACAGAAAAAUCCAACUGGGUAACAAUUUCAAGACCAAGCCAUUAAACUCCACUAUAACAAUGAUGAACUUACAAUACGAUCUAGUGAAAAAAAUUUCACUGGACUUGCUGAUAUAUUUCCUACAAUCUUUAAGACCCACUAGAAUGUGCUUCACUCAUACCUAUUAUCGAUCCUCUGAAAUUGUCUAUCUUCCGUAAAUCGUUAAGAACACAUUGUUCUUGUUCUCUUCCUAUGCUGCUGGUCCAACCUCACUCAAUCUUCAGCACUCUGAAAGCUAUUGAGAAAUUACCUUCUUGUAUACAUAUAGGAAGUGUGUGUUUUGGAUUAUAUGAAGUUGAUUUUUUUUUUCAAAUAUGUGGUUGUAUGAAUUUAAGAAUCAAUGAAUAAAUCAAAGUCUUGAAUGCUUCUUAAAUCUUUGAAGGAUGAUAUGUAGGAGAAUUAUAAUGAACAACGACACCAAAAAACGUGUUAGGGCAAGAGUUUAUAUAGUAGAAAGCAUCUAGGUAGCAUGUGUCAAUUAAAACUUGAGUGACAGGCGAGCAGCUAGUGUGUUGCUCGAGUGAUUGCUCAAUGACAUACGGGAGACAAGGUUAUUGUUUUUAUCACUCAAGCAUCAGAUGGCCGAUAGGCUAGCGUAAAUCCGACGACUCUUUCCUCUUAGUUCCAAACUCGAACCUUAAGAUACCUAUUUUAUCUAUACAAUAUUCCAACUGACUCCUUGACUUUUCCAACUUUUCAUAUUAGUCAUUUUUGUCUAAUGAAUUGCCAAUAUAAUAUAAAUCCUAACACCUUCUUUUGAAAAUUCAGCAGAAGAGUAGACAGCUUUGGAUAAGGACUUGAAAGACACGUUUUUUUUCCAAAUCCUUAAAGACUGAAUUUUUACCUUCAUUUCUUUCGCCUUCUAUAUACACGCUUUAUUAGUUUUUUUUUUUUUUAAAGUCUUUUCGACUUUACUUUAUUAUUUUUUUUAAAAAAAAAAAUUUAUUUGACUUUAUUUUCAAGUUUUUAAAAUAUUUUAUCUGUACAAAAGUCAAAAAUGAUUUUAUCGGAAUAGUUAAAUAAGAUUUAAGUUAUUGUGUUAUCUACAUUAUGUAAUUAUGAUCUUGAGACACAUUUUAUUACAAACUUCAAAAGCAUGUAUGAAGUUCCUAUAAAUAUAUUAAGUAGAAUUUGUCUAGUUAAAAAUUGAAACUUUGAAAAAUAUUCUAAAUUUUGCAUUUUGAAAACUUGAAAAUUGUAUAAUCGACUAGUGGUGGGAAUUAUUAAGCCUAUGUUUGUCAUCCUUUAACAAAUUAAAUUGUUUGCUACAGUAAUAUUCUCCAUCAUACAUUUACAUAACAAAAUAUUCUACACAUAAACCUAUAAGAUUUUCUUAAAUUUUAACCACAUAUUCUCCAAAAAAUACUAUUCAAAACUCUAUAAUUUCUUCCUUAAUUGGAGAUAGCAGGCUCUAAGUAAAUAUUGUAUUUUAUAAUUUUAGAUGUUUAAUAUGUAUUAUUUUAUUUAUUAAAUAAUUUUUAAAAUGAUUAAAUUUUUUUUUGUAAUAAUAUAAAUAAGAAAGCGUUUUUUUAGGCCUAAACCUCGAAUAGGCUCGUUUAAGCACGUAAAGCUUGAAACCUGGGCUCCACAUCUAGUCACACUUUACACUUUUUAGAACACUAUUUUUAAUGAUCUUCCUCCAAAGAUUUAGACCUUAAUCCACAUCGAAACAUCAAUAUUAAGGCUGGACAAAAUUUUCGAAUCGAAUUGAAUCACAAUCGAACUUAAUCGAAUUGAGCGAUUCUUCUUAAAUUAAAUACUCAAAUGGGUAUUUGAAUCGAGAAUCGAUAAGUUUAGUUCGAUUCUUCAUUCUAGACCAAUAAUCGAAUAAGAACCGAAUCUCCCUUAUUUUUAAUUUUUUAAUCUUAGAUACGCUAAAAUAUUUUAUUUUUUAAAAUAAAAAUUUGCUAACUAAUUAGCCUGAACCCAAAAUAUGAUUUUACUAUUUCUAGUUUCCAACGAAGCCCAAUUUAAUCAAACUAACUUAAAUUUUACCUAAAUUUCCUAUUCUACCAUUUUUGUCAUUUUGGAGAAAUUGAAUUGAAAGUCGACUGGACAUCUCUUCAUUAUUGUGAGCUCGCUAUCUUCCUGUUAUUGUGAUUUUAAUAGUCAAAUAUAUGAAGAACUCAACAAAUUAAGGCGCAAAAGCUAAGAUUGAACAUGUCAUAAUAGAAUUAAUAUAGCGUUAAAUAUAAAAAUUAGUUAUUGUAUUGAGCUUGACAGUCGAAUAGAAUCGAACCGAAUGAAACCUAACCCAAAAGGUUCCAUGAUUAAAUUUGGACCUUACGAUUCCACUUACUAAAUACCUGAAAAUUCAAGUUCGGCUUGAUUCAGUUCUAAUGUCCAGCCCUAGCAGUAUUUAUCUUCAUAUAUAACACUACAGUGCAGUAAAUAGUACAUGAGGAAGAUCUUGGAAUCAACUCUACAUAUCAUGACCAAAGAAACAAAGAAAGAUCACCUAAGUGAACCGAUUUCGAAUUUCCUCAACAGACAAGGUCCAACCGGAAAGCUAACAUGACACAAAUGCUACAAAUUGAUGGACACUUAAAUUGAUACUGCAAAAGUACAGAUCACCACCUCUCAAAGUCAUAAAUUGUAGACCAAGUCUAACAAUGCAGUGCAAGUUUGAAGAUGGCAAUAAAAUGCUAGAUGAAGUUUGCGCAGCGAUUUUGUGCUUGUUUAGAUUCAUUUCAACUAAUCUUGGAUACUCGUAUUCUCCUUGACAUGAAUUUCUCCAACUUCAGUCCGUCUGAAUCCAAAGGGAGGUGGCUCAGAACAUGCCCUCAAAACAGCCUCAUU
rnacentral:lncRNA from 1 species